GAUCAUGGCUCAGGAUGAACGCUGGCGGCGCGCCUAACACAUGCAAGUCGAACGGCACCUGCCCUCGGGCAGAAGCGAGUGGCGAACGGCUGAGUAACACGUGGAGAACCUGCCCCCUCCCCCGGGAUAGCCGCCCGAAAGGACGGGUAAUACCGGAUACCCCGGGGUGCCGCAUGGCACCCCGGCUAAAGCCCCGACGGGAGGGGGAUGGCCUCCGGCCGGCCCAUCGAGGUAGACGGGCGGGGUGACCGGCCCACCGUGCCGACGAACGGGUACGG
rnacentral:rRNA from 1 species